CAGCAGCCACGGGAAUACGUAGGUGGCAAGCGUUGUCCGGAAUUAUUGGGCGUAAAGCGCGCGCAGGCGGAUAGGUCAGUCUGUCUUAAAAGUUCGGGGCUUAACCCCGUGAUGGGAUGGAAACUGCCAAUCUAGAGUAUCGGAGAGGAAAGUGGAAUUCCUAGUGUAGCGGUGAAAUGCGUAGAUAUCAGGAAGAACACCAGUGGCGAAGGCGACUUUCUGGACGAAAACUGACGCUGAGGCGCGAAAGCCAGGGGAGCGAACGGGAUUAGAUACCCCAGUAGUCCCUGUCUCUUAUACC
rnacentral:rRNA from 1 species